rnacentral:rRNA from 1 species
UAGUCAUAUGCUUGUCUCAAAGAUUAAGCCAUGCAUGUCUAAGUAUAAAUAACUACACAGUAAAACUGCGAAUGGCUCAUUAAAACAGUUAUAGUUUAUUUGAUGCAUUAAAUGGAUAACUGUAGGAAACUAGAGCUAAUACAUGCCAAGGUCGUAAGACUGCAUUUAUUAGAUAUGCCAAGACGGUGAAUCAUGAUAACUUAGCAAAUCGAAACCACGUUUCGAUAAAUCAUUCAAGUUUCUGACCUAUCAUGCUCUCGAUGGUAGUGUAUUGGACUACCAUGGCAGUCACGGGUAACGGAGAAUUAGGGUUCGAUUCCGGAGAAGGAGCCUGAGAAACGGCUACUACAUCUACGGAAGGCAGCAGGCGCGUAAAUUACCCAAUCCUAAAUCGGGGAGGUAGUGACAAGAUAUAACAACGCGACCAAAAAUCGCGAUUGUAGUGAGGGUAUUCUAAACAUAGCUUCGAGUACGAUU